rnacentral:rRNA from 1 species
UGGGGAAUAUUGCACAAUGGGCGCAAGCCUGAUGCAGCCAUGCCGCGUGUGUGAAGAAGGCCUUCGGGUUGUAAAGCACUUUCAGCGAGGAGGAAGGUGGUGAGCUUAAUACGCUCAUCAAUUGACGUUACUCGCAGAAGAAGCACCGGCUAACUCCGUGCCAGCAGCCGCGGUAAUACGGAGGGUGCAAGCGUUAAUCGGAAUUACUGGGCGUAAAGCGCACGCAGGCGGUUUGUUAAGUCAGAUGUGAAAUCCCCGGGCUCAACCUGGGAACUGCAUUUGAAACUGGCAAGCUAGAGUCUCGUAGAGGGGGGUAGAAUUCCAGGUGUAGCGGUGAAAUGCGUAGAGAUCUGGAGGAAUACCGGUGGCGAAGGCGGCCCCCUGGACGAAGACUGACGCUCAGGUGCGAAAGCGUGGGGCAGCAAACAGGAUUAGAUACCCUGGUAGUCCACGCUGUAAAACGAUGUCGAUUUUGGAGGUUGUGCCCCUUGAGGCGUGGCUUCCGGAGCUAACGCGUUAAAUCGACCGCCUGGGGAG